GACGAACGCUGGCGGCGUGCUUAACACAUGCAAGUCGAACGGAAAGGCCCUGCUUUUGUGGGGUGCUCGAGUGGCGAACGGGUGAGUAACACGUGAGUAACCUGCCCUUGACUUUGGGAUAACUUCAUGAAACUGGGGCUAAUACCGGAUAGGAGCUCCUGCUUCAUGGUGGGGGUUGGAAAGUUUCGGCGGUUGGGGAUGGACUCGCGGCUUAUCAGCUUGUUGGUGGGGUAGUGGCUUACCAAGGCUUUGACGGGUAGCCGGGCUGCGAGGGUGACCGGACACAUUGGGACUGAGAUACGGCACAGACUCGUACGGGAGGCAGCAGUGGGGAAUAUUGCACAAUGGGCGGAAGCAUGAUGCAGCAAAGCCGCGUGGGGGAUGACGGCAUUGGGGUUGUAAACCGCAGUCGCCUGUGACGAAGCGUGAGUGACGGUAAUGGGUAAAGAAGCACCGGCUAACUACGUG
rnacentral:rRNA from 1 species